rnacentral:lncRNA from 1 species
GGAUCAAUGCCUCGUUUUAAAGCAUGACCCCUUAUCCUGGGUACCGUUGACAUUAGAGCCAGACAAUUGUUUGUUAUUAGUAGCUGUCCUGAGCAUCUGUUUAGCAGCACCUCUGGCCUCUACCCACUAGAAGACAGUAGUGCCUACCCCAACCCAAGUUGUGACAACCAAAUAUGUCUCCAGAAAUUGCCAAAUGUCUCCUGGGUUACAAAAUUCUCCCAGUUGAGAAGCACUAUUCUGAAGGCUGCAUCUGUUAGUAGUUCAGUGGUAAUGUGGGUGGUGAUGAAUCCAUGUUUUUAUUGUUAUAAGGCAGAAAUCCACAUUGUCCCAAAGAUAAUUGAAUCUUGAUAGUCAAAUUUGAAAUUCACCAGUCUACAAGAUAUCUGCUAAAGAAACCAUACCUUGUCCUAGAAGGGAGAUUUUUACUCUUCUUCUUCUCUCUUUUCCCUUUUAUUUCUUGUUUGCUCACUUAUCUUUUGUUUUAAUUUCACAUCUAGGCUAAUAGACAGGGCCAAUUCGUAGACAUUCUCUUACACAAAUUUUGGUUUGAAAUAAUAAAAUCUAGCUAUGAAAAAUGUAACUAAUAUUGGAGAUAUUUACCUAAAGGAAAGAUGUGUAAGUAGAAUCUAGAAAUGCAAGAAUAAUAGCUUUAAAAAACUUAAAGAACUAAAGAUGGAUAUAGAUUUGUUGAUAUUUUUAAUGCAUUGAAAAUCAAAAUUCAUAGUUAUUUCAGAAAUUCUGAAUUUGGCAGUAUUGGCCUCUUUUUACUCUGUUACUCUUAUCCCUAUAAUAGUAACACCUCAAGUUCAGUUCCAUUUAAAAGAGAUGGAAUAUUAAAAUAAGCGGAGGAAAAUGAAGACAGCCAAUUUAAUUAGGAAGUUUAAAGGCAAGAAACAAAAGGAAGGAAGGCAAACAGGGCAGAAGAUGAGAAAAAGAGGAUGCAAAAUGGAAAUAAAGUAGUUGAGAAGAUUUCUGAAACAUAUGGCAUAUGUUUAUUUUGAUGAUUUUAUCCUGGGUUUGCAUUCUCUGUUAAUCACACUUUCCACUCUUUAGUUCUCCUUCAGUUCUGCUGCCUACCUAACCUCUGAAUGUAUUGUAGAAUUCUUGUGCAAGUUUCGUAUUUGUUAUCUUACUUAUGUGCAUAGCAACUUCCUGCUCAAGUCAAGUUUUCCAUUUGUAGCUGGGUAUUAUGUGGCAGAGGGUGGACCAAAUAAGCAAAUAAUUCUCUGAGAUUCCCUGAUGGUGUCUCCUAUUUCUGAGCCUUCUAUACAGAACCCAUGCUAUGGGGAAGGUAAAGGGACGUAAAGUCUGAGGUGAAAAUUUUGUUAUAAUACUUCUCUCUGUUUUAGUUAAUAUUCUGAAUAACCUAAUUUAAGGUCUCAAAGAACUCUGGACUUGGAAUCAAAAUGCUUGGUCCUUAAAUUCUAUUUCUUGGAAUCUACACUAAAAAUAAGAAAAAUAAAACAAGUCCUAUGAAUAAAGACAACCAAAGCAAUAUUAUUUAUAAAGGAACAGAAUUGGAAGAAACCUACAUUUUCAAUCAUAAGGAAAUGGAUAAUCAAAUGAUGGUAGACAUAUACCAUGCAGCCAUUAAAAAUACUGGUAGUCACAUCUAAAAUUAAGUAACACAAUUUUAAUAGAACAAAGCAAGAUAUGUUAUACCACAGUAUAAUAAAAAGUAUAUAAAUAAAAGCAUUUAUUUAAAAUGAAAUUACAAGUUUGAUGGCAACACUUUUGCUAGGUAACGUUACUGUGGGUACCACUUACCCUUUCAACUUUCCUAUAUUUUCAAGAUUUUUAAAAUAAAAGCAAAGCAAAAUAAAAGUAACUAAAUAAAAGAUUAAUGACCAGCAAAGAAAAAUAAUUCUGAGUUUACAAAACACUAACUGCAGGAAAAAGUGUGUAAGACCUAUUAGAAACUUUUACAAUUGAGCUGGAUGAAGGAGGGAGAACAAAAGUUGUGUAGAAAUAAAAGUUGUGUAGAAACAAAAAUAUGUACAAAUAUUUAAAAUGCAGUUAAUGGGUUCUGAGAAGGAUAAUGAGUUAGUUGGGAAGAAAGAUAAAAACAAGUGUGUUUUUCAGAGGAAAAAAAUUAUUUUUUACCCAAACACAUUUCUACAUUAUUCAAAUUUAAUGUUCUACUACCAGAUAUUGAAUACUUUAUUAUCUGGGCAGACAGAGAAGAGGAUAAAAGGGUUUUAUUUUUCUUUGCUUCCUUCACUCCGUUUGGCUAUUGCUGUUGACCUCACGUCUGGAGAGAUUCACACUUCAAGAAAGAUAUUAAGAUUUCAUAAAUGAAAUUAAAUAAAUACAUAUUCAUAAAAUUUAGAGAAUUAUCUGCCACAGAAUAAGUGUUAUUCAAACCUUUGUUAUAUAAAUACUCUACUUUUGAGUAGCCUAACAGAUUGCAUAAACCAUCCUUAAAAAUCAACUCCUUAGGACUAAGUACCAGAAAGUAAUUUGUAAAUAUUAUACUUUGCCUAAUGCUUUACAACAAUCACAAAAUUAAAAGGAUACACAGCAAAUUACUUUUAAAAUUUUUCUUUCAUUAGACUCAGAAAAAUGAAAAUGGGUAUAUUCCAAUUUGCAUUUUUUAAGAUGAACAGGCACACUAUCUUUAAAGCUACUGUAAAUUACCAGCUUAAUAAUGACAAAGAAUGUGUAUAGCUAUUUAUUCUUGUGUUCAGUAAAAAAAAUAUAGUAACCAUGGCAACUACCAAAUCUCAUAGUAUGUAUGCUACCUCUAUGAUCACUUUUUAUAAUAAAGACAUGAGUAAUAUAUCAUCUAGGUUCUGGUAUUAAAUGUGUUGAAAUGCCUUCAAACAUACCCAUUGCUGAUAUACAUAUUUACCAUGUUUAAUUCCCUUAGCUCUGACAUCAACUAUACCUUCAAUUUUAACAUUUUUGCAUUUUAGCUAUAGUCUGAAUAUAUAACCAUGUGUAUUAAAUCUGAAAAUUGUAAAAUUAGAAUCAACAUCCCAAAUUUCUCAAUGACUGACAAUUGACUUUCCCUGAGCUCUACAGAAAUACAUAAGACGUAAUUUUUCCUUAAAGAAUGUGAAAUUGAGUUCCAAUUUUUUGUAAAAAUUUUUUUCUAUUAGAAAACAUACUGUUUAUACUUUCAUAAAUUAAAAAUAAACAAGUUUGUAUUAGAA